AACCCCUGUGACAUACCAAUUGUUGCCUCGGCGGAUCAGCCCGCUCCCGGUAAAACGGGACGGCCCGCCAGAGGACCCCUAAACUCUGUUUCUAUAUGUAACUUCUGAGUAAAACCAUAAAUAAAUCAAAACUUUCAACAACGGAUCUCUUGGUUCUGGCAUCGAUGAAGAACGCAGCAAAAUGCGAUAAGUAAUGUGAAUUGCAGAAUUCAGUGAAUCAUCGAAUCUUUGAACGCACAUUGCGCCCGCCAGUAUUCUGGCGGGCAUGCCUGUUCGAGCGUCAUUUCAACCCUCAAGCCCAGCUUGGUGUUGGGACUCGCGAGUCAAAUCGCGUUCCCCAAAUUGAUUGGCGGUCACGUCGAGCUUCCAUAGCGUAGUAGUAAAACCCUCGUUACUGGUAAUCGUCGCGGCCACGCCGUUAAACCCCAACUUCUGAAUGUUGACCUCGGAUCAGGUAGGAAUACCCGCUGAACUUAAGCAUAUC
rnacentral:rRNA from 1 species